CAUUCAUCCCGAAAAGCCCAUUGGUUGCCCAAACCCCACAGCCGCACGCCCCCACCUCCUUCCUCCCUCAUUCGUCUCAGCAGCACGAACCCUGGCCGCCGCCCCACCCGCAUCCGUCCUCCAUCCCUGCAACAGCGUCUCCAUGGACGUCAGCAGCAGCAGCGUCUCCAUGGACGCGGCGGCGUGACGGCUCGCCGGGGUGGAUCCCCUCCUCCGCCCCCAUCCUCCACCUCUCCGGCCGGCCAGUUGCAACGUUUAUUCUUCCUGCUGCUAAUUCUUAGACUUCACGGCUGGGUGGAGGAGCAGGGAUGGUCUGUAGGCUAGCGGUAGGGGGAUGGAGCAACAAUGUCUGAGCUUUGGGCGGCACACACAUUGUAGGGCUGAGGAGAGGUUGGAGGCAUUGGUGUGAGGGUGUUGUGCUGACGUGCUCCUCCAUGUCUCGUGCGAGUUCUUGGUGUCGCGAUCAUGGCUCCAGAGAGCAGCGCUUCAAGGUCACUUAAGCUUGAAUGGGUUAUCAAGUCUACUGGAACCAUUCAUGUUUAGGCUUGUUCAUUGGUUUUAGAACAGACACUCCCUUAAGUAUGUUUAAUCACAAUUAAAAGGAGGAAGCCAAAUUAUUGCAAUGUAAGUGCUUGAACUCGGAGGCUUGAUCCACUAUCACUUGCUCCUACCACUGUGUCAUAAUAUCUCAUUUUCAUAUAUAAGAUGAUAGUAACUGAAUGAUCAUAUUAGGAGUGCGUUAUUGGUAGCCUUGUGAGGUUUUCUUCAUAACUUCUUCUCCUGUUUUUAAUGUUUGUAUUCUCUUUGUUGCAAGGUGUGGCUGCAGGUAAAGUUGUCAAGUUGAUCUGGUGCUUGCUUGAGCCGUUGAUUACUGCUGCUUUGCUAAGGUUCAACGUCUUACUACAUGAGAAAUUUAUUCCAAUGCUUUCUCAAUCCCUUUACCAUGAUGACUACCAGAGGAACCUUCAAUGUGUAUAGAUGGUGAUGGAUAUGGGGACACACAAGAACUAGCGAACUUAAUACCAGAUGCCCUCAACUAUGAAUUCUUUAAUUAUUGGAGGCUUUCAUAUUCAUAUCAAUACAAGGUGGGAUAUGAUGCAGGUACAUAUGCAAAUUUGUCUUCUGUUGGUAGUUUGUUGCUUGUUGCAGCAUCCCGAGCACAUAUGUGAGGCUAUGGCAGUCCUUUUUCGUGUAAUAAACUGAUGAUGAGAAGAAUAUGACAGGCCGACCAAUUGUACACUGUGAACACAAUCGUUGUUUGCAGUGUGAUUUUCCGUGAUUCCGGAUCGGGCGCACCUCGUCGUCGUGGAGAGCAUGAGUGGCUGGGUCUGCAUGGUCAGUGGAGAUGAGGUUCUUUUGGAUUAAUGCUUCUGCCUGAUGAGUUCCUCCCCUUUUAUGUCGCAGGCUGUAAGAUCUCUGCAUGUUGUUGCUUGCUUGUUCUGCCAGUGGUUUUGUUCACUUCCUUUUCUAUUUAUCUACUGCAUUCUUUUCUUUCCUAUGUGUUGUCAUGGAUAUUAGUUUCGAUUGUGUUUAUAUUCAGGAUUUGGCACAGAGUUUUGUUCUAUUUUGGCUCAUGCUUGCCGCUUGUGUGAUUGAACAUAUGGUGUUUUGUCUACUUAACCAUUUGUGUGUAGUAGUAUUCAUUUUAUCCUUGAUCAUGUGCGUAUGUACUACUGAAGUAGUUUUAAUUGAUAUAAAAGUUUUCAUGUAUUGCAGCUAUUUGACUUUGAGCAACCACAAUCUACAAGGAACGUUAGGAGUAAAUUAUAAUUUUCCAUCUCGAAAGCGUUUUGUAUGCAGAAUUGGUUAGCAUUAUCUCUAGAUACACCGUUUACUAUUAAGUAGAUAAUUUACAUGUUGUCGUGGACUAAAGGUGGUGAUAUAUACUUAUAUGCCCAUUCACAACUGCUAUUAUUUAAUAUGUUUCCCUUUGGGCAUCUACAAUGCUAGGAGCUUACAUAGGCGCUUACGAACAAAAUAAUAAAAUCUGAAGAACACCUAAGCGCCUCAUCCCUCAACGCUAGACGCUAAUUAACUAAACAACGUAGAUGCUAAGUGAUGGAAGAAAAAUGGCCAAGCGCCGGGUGCGUGAUUUGGCGUCGACGCCAGGGUUGACGCCAGGAUUAUAGCCGGCAACCGCUAAUCUGCUGGGAUUACGAGCCUGGCGCCGGGGCUAAGCGCCCAGUGAUGGAGAUGCCCUUAUAUCAUUGCGAAGUUGAAAUAUUGUUUUUCCUGGUCUUCUAGGUUCACAUAGUCCUCAAGAGUAUCCUUCUAUGUUGUGAUUCUAAAAAUAUUUUGAGUUAUUUCAUUUUGACUACUUCAUGCUUGAACUUGGAAUUGUUGGCUAAGCAGUUCUUGAAAUUUGAAGGGAGCGUGUGUAAGUCUGUAGUAAUUGGCAGUGCAAACAUGAUCAGCCUAUUGAUGAUGUAGUACUUAAUAUGAUCAUUAUCUGGUUUACUUGUUGUAUUUUAUUGCGCAUAGUAGACCACCAUGCAUCACCAACCAGGUAAAAAUGUUACAUCAGGGGGCUUUCAUGAGCUAAUUGCACAAUUCUUUAAGCUAUGCUCUGAACGUUAGUGGCCUUAUUCAAGCUUUGUAGGUUGCAGUGUAAUGUGAAGAUUCCAACGGAUAUCAAGCUUUAAAUUGGGAUCAUUUGCAAAGCGGAAAUAUAGAGAUCGACAUCUGAUGGGAAGGAACAUGUCGAAUAUAAUGGCCAAACAAGGAAGGGACAUGAGGCUGUAAUAUCAUUUUCGUUCUCAUUUCUUGUAGGAAGUCACAACUAGGAGUGAUGGUGGAAAUAUAACUGCCAGUUAGUACCUUUAUGUUUUUCUAAAAGAACUGUGAGCUACCGUUAGUUUCUUUUCCUGGUUCGUAAUCAGUAUAUACAGUUACCACACAAUCAUGAUCAUCAAUGUUCACAACUGUCUGAAUCGUGUGAUUCAAAGCAGAACCCAUAUGAUUGCCACUCAUGCAUGUAAUGUGUUAUCUGCAGUAUAUCUCAAUUUUGAAUGUGACAUGUCAUGUAUGUAUGUUAACUUCAGAUUUUUGUCAA